AAUCUUCCGCAUUGGACGAAAGUCUGACGGAGCAACGCCGCUUGAGUAAUGAAGGUCUUCGGAUCGUAAAACUCUGUUGUUAGGGAAGAACUAGUAUCGUUCGAAGAGUGCGGUACCUUGACGGUCCCUCACCAGAACGCCACGGCUAGCUACGUGCCAGCAGCCGCGGUAAUACGUAGGCGGCAAGCGUUAGCCGGAAUCAUUUGGCGUAAAGCACGCGCAGGCGGUUUCUUAAGACUGAUGUGAAAGCCCACGGCUCAACCGUGGAGGGUCAUUGGAAACUGGGAAGCUUGAGUGCAGAAGAGGAGAGUGGAAUUCCAUGUGUAGCGGUGAAAUGCGUAGAGAUAUGGAGGAACACCAGUGGCGAAGGCGACUCUCUGGUCUGCAACUGACGCUGAGGCGCGAAAGCGUGGGGAGCGAAAA
rnacentral:rRNA from 1 species